AAUGAACGUUGGCGGCAUGGAUUAGGCAUGCAAGUCGAGCGGUAAGGCCCCGCAAGGGGUACACGAGCGGCGUAAGGGACAGUAAUGUGUAGGUACGUACCUCCGGGCCUGGGAUAGCUGCGGGAAACUGCAAUUAAUACCAGAUGAUGUCUCCGGACCAAAGGUGUGAUUCCGCCGGGAGAGCGGCCUACAUCCUAUUAGCUAGUUGGCGGGGUAACGGCCCACCAAGGCUCAGAUGGGUAGCAGGUGUGAGAGCACGACCUGCGUCACUGGGACUGAGACACUGCCCAGACACCUACGGGUGGCUGCAGUCGAGAAUCUUCGGCAAUGAGCGCAAGCUUGACCGAGCAAUGCCGCGUGCGGGAAGAAGGCCUCGGUUGUAACCGCUCGUCUAGAGGGAACGAAAGUAGCCAGU
rnacentral:rRNA from 1 species